rnacentral:rRNA from 1 species
CGCGCAGGCGGGUUGACAAGUCAGAGGUGAAAUCCUACAGCUUAACUGUAGAACUGCCUUUGAGACUGUCAAUCUUGAGUACGGAAGAGAGAGAUGGAAUUCCAGGUGUAGUGGUGAAAUACGUAGAUAUCUGGAAGAACACCAGUGGCGAAGGCGAUCUCUUGGUCCAUUACUGACGCUGAGGCGCGAAAGCGUGGGGAGCAAACAGGAUUAGAUACCCUGGUAGUCC